rnacentral:lncRNA from 1 species
ACUUAGGAUGGUUGUUGGGUUUGUGAGCUUGAUUUUGAUCUUGGGAUUGGAAUAUUAGAGGAAAGUGAAAGAAAUGAACCAAAAGAGUGAGAAAAAGAAAGAAAACUACUAGGGAUAUAUAAAAAAAAAGGCUCUAGAGUAGAAUCCCCUUUAGAAUCAAAAGAAAAGAAACAUGAAAAGAGUGGGGAAAAGAAAAGAAAAAGAAGAGCUUAGUGAAUAAGAAAAAAAAGAAUUCCUAGUUGGUUAAGAUAAGUGAAAGAAAAGUGUUCAU